rnacentral:rRNA from 1 species
GACGAACGCUGGCGGCGUGCUUAACACAUGCAAGUCGAACGGAAAGGCCCUGCUUUUGUGGGGUGCUCGAGUGGCGAACGGGUGAGUAACACGUGAGUAACCUGCCCUUGACUUUGGGAUAACUUCAGGAAACUGGGGCUAAUACCGGAUAGGAGCUCCUGCUGCAUGGUGGGGGUUGGAAAGUUUCGGCGGUUGGGGAUGGACUCGCGGCUUAUCAGCUUGUUGGUGGGGUAGUGGCUUACCAGGGCUUUGACGGGUAGCCGGCCUGAGAGGGUGACCGGCCACAUUGGGACUGAGAUACGGCCCAGACUCCUACGGGAGGCAGCAGUGGGGAAUAUUGCACAAUGGGCGGAAGCCUGAUGCAGCAACGCCGCGUGCGGGAUGACGGCCUUCGGGUUGUAAACCGCUUUCGCCUGUGACGAAGCGUGAGUGACGGUAAUGGGUAAAGAAGCACCGGCUAACUACGUGCCAGCAGCCGCGGUGAUACGUAGGGUGCGAGCGUUGUCCGGAUUUAUUGGGCGUGAAGGGCUCGUAGGUGGUUGAUCGCGUCGGAAGUGUAAUCUUGGGGCUUAACCCUGAGCGUGCUUUCGAUACGGGUUGACUUGAGGAAGGUAGGGGAGAAUGGAAUUCCUGGUGGAGCGGUGGAAUGCGCAGAUAUCAGGAGGAACACCAGUGGCGAAGGCGGUUCUCUGGGCCUUUCCUGACGCUGAGGAGCGAAAGCGUGGGGAGCGAACAGGCUUAGAUACCCUGGUAGUCCACGCUGUAAACGGUGGGUACUAGGUGUGGGGUCCAUUCCACGGGUUCCGUGCCGUAGCUAACGCUUUAAGUACCCCGCCUGGGGAGUACGGCCGCAAGGCUAAAACUCAAAGGAAUUGACGGGGCCCCGCACAAGCGGCGGAGCAUGCGGAUUAAUUCGAUGCAACGCGUAGAACCUUACCUGGGUUUGACAUGGAUCGGGAGCGCUCAGAGAUGGGUGUGCCUCUUUUGGGGUCGGUUCACAGGUGGUGCAUGGCUGUCGUCAGCUCGUGUCGUGAGAUGUUGGGUUAAGUCCCGCAACGAGCGCAACCCUUGUUCACUGUUGCCAGCACGUUAUGGUGGGGACUCAGUGGAGACCGCCGGGGUCAACUCGGAGGAAGGUGGGGAUGACGUCAAGUCAUCAUGCCCCUUAUGUCCAGGGCUUCACGCAUGCUACAAUGGCUGGUACAGAGAGUGGCGAGCCUGUGAGGGUGAGCGAAUCUCGGAAAGCCGGUCUCAGUUCGGAUUGGGGUCUGCAACUCGACCUCAUGAAGUCGGAGUCGCUAGUAAUCGCAGAUCAGCAACGCUGCGGUGAAUACGUUCCCGGG